AGUCUAUUAUUAUCGAUGAUGGUAUCGAUGCGCACGUGUGUAUGCGAUAUGCGUACGUACGUCGCAAGUCACAACAAGUCCACUUACUUUUCAACCAACAAGUUCAGUCGGUGCGAGUAUGGCAUGGGAGCUGUCUUUCUGAAUGUCAAAAUACAUUAACUUUUAGACCAUGGCGAAUAACAAACGAAUGGUUUAUGUGGGUAGGAGGGCUUGCUGAAGAAGUUGAUGAGAAGGUCCUGCAUGCUGCCCUCAUUCCAUUUGGGGAUAUUCUGGAUAUCAACAUUCCCUUGGAUUAUGAAACGGAAAAGCACCGAGGCUUUGCAUUUGUUGAAUUUGAGUUUGCAGAGGAUGCUGCUGCUUCAAUUGAUAAUAUGAAUGACUCUGAGCUGUUUGGAAGGACAAUACGAGUCAACCUUGCCAAGCCAAUGAAAAUCAAAGAGGGACAUUCCAAACCAGUUUGGUCUGAUGAUAAUUGGCUGAAGAAGUAUGCAGGAGCAACAUUGAAAGCACAGGAAGAUAAGGAUGGGAAAGGCGGACAAGGUGAUGAGGAAACGGGCAAAAGAUCAGCAGAAACAGAUUCAAAUGAGGCAGGUGCUCCACCUCUCAAGAGGUCAAAAGGCAAUCCUCAUGUGUACUUUGACAUCAAGAUUGGAACCAAGCAAGUGGGUCGUAUUGUCAUGGUUCUCCGGGCAGACAUCGUUCCUAUGACAGCAGAGAAUUUCAGGUGUCUUUGCACACAUGAGAAGGGCUUUGGCAUGAAAGGCAGCACAUUUCACAGAAUCAUUCCAACAUUUAUGUGUCAAGGAGGAGAUUUUACAAACCACAAUGGCACUGGAGGAAAGUCCAUCUAUGGCAAGAAAUUUGAAGAUGAAAACUUCAUCUUAAAACACACACAACCUGGAGUAUUAUCUAUGGCGAAUUCAGGACCUGGUACGAAUAGCUCACAGUUCUUCCUCAUAACUGCAAAGACAGAAUGGCUCGAUGGAAAACAUGUGGUGUUUGGUCAUGUGACCGAAGGAAUGGACAUUGUAAGAAAGAUUGAAAAUGUUGGAACAAAGUCAGGAAAACCUAAAGAAAAAGUGACCAUUUGUGACUGUGGUGAACUGGUAUAGUUGAUCUUGGUCAACUCUGGAACACUCUACAGAUGAGUUCUACCAUCAUGAGGGAAGCAUCCAGCAACAAACCAGCUAGCUACUGGCCUUCUCAUCAUAAGAAUCUUUCUUAGCUUUUAACAAAUACUUUUAAACAGUUUUGGAUUCUGAAAUAAUGUAGAAACCAACGAGGAAGGCUAAGGACGGUUAUUUGAGGAAAAAACAAGGAGGUUUGUUGCACAAGUGUGUAAUCAAGUGUGUGACAAUUAGCUUUUACAAUCCAACAAUGGUCUGGAUGUGAGAAUGAUAAUGUCUUUGUGCUGAGCAAUGCCUAAUUGUAUUCUACUUCUAAUACAAGGCCACAGUUGACAGUUGGUAGUCCAUGGGCCCUUUGCACACUUGUGUGGUAAGAGAGGCCACACGUGUUGAGUAUCUUUCAGGUCUAAUUGGGAACAAAAUAAACAGGAAAUAGGGCAAUUCCAGCAUCAAGGACAUUACAAAUCAGACAAUGUUUUUGUUAUUUUUAUUUUUACUUUUGGAGUUAGUGAAUAAACCUUAAAAUGUAUUUAUCAUUGUCAAGGAGAUUAUACACUGUGAUUUUGGGAUCAUUUCUCUGAAUUAUUAAUUAAAUAUCGUGGUUAAUUGGCUUUGUCACAGAUUACAUUUUUUUGAUUUUUUUUUAAUACUUUAACAUCUGUGCAAAUUUCUGUGAAUGUGUGGAUAUAUUUUAGAAAAAAAGUACUAAUGUUAUGAUAAGAACAUGUUGAAAAAGGUUCAUGGCCAAAUGGUGUUGAACCAAUUCUGCAUUUGAUCUGUAGUCCCUUAAAUUUGGCAUCAUGAACAUUGCAAUUUGGAUGUCAAGGACAUUACGCUGAAUUUUCCCUGUUAAUUUGAAGUUGGGUCAGCUAAUUGAUUGAAAGAGUUCAGUUUGUCACUUCUUGAAACUGUUUUGAUGAUAAACUUGCUAUUUCAAUCAUUUCAUGGAAGCAAAAAUAUGAAAAUAUUUAACCUAACAAUAUAAACAGUUCAUUUAUGUCACAUGACAUAUACCAGAUUUUGUUAAAGAAAUUCAUACCAAGAGAUACAGUAGCUACUAAAGUCAGUUUAGUGAACAUGCUUCACUGAAUUCCUCUUAACCUGAUAUCAAUCAGAAUGUUCAGAAAUAUGAAUGUAACAGACAUGCUUAGUAGUCCAUUACAUGAACCAAAGGAUGAUUAUCUAACAUGAGUAUUUCAUUUUGAUGGAGAAUAUUGAAUAUACUCUUGUGUAUAAUCAGUGAAAGUGUCAUGGAAACCCUUUCAUGCAAACCAGAGCUGUAACAGAUCAUAAAAGGAUAUGUGCUUUUCAACUAUUCCAAUGGGAAUUACACAUUGCAUUGGAAAUCACUCAACCGGCACUCUGCAAUGGGUCUUUUCAUUUAACUGUGUAAAUCCAUCGGAACAGGUGAAAAACACAUUGCCAUUUAUAAUCUGUUGUAUCUCUGGUUUGUAUGAAUGGAUUUUCAUCAAAUUUUCACUGUGAUGCUGAUGUUUUUGAAAAAUUUAAAGGUGUCUGCGUGCACAAGUUUUUUGGGGUCACCCCAUACAUUUGUGUGCUGUAUACACAAAGAAAUGAUACUGAAUAAAUUAACUGUCAUUCUGAGGCAUUUUAGAGUUUCUAGUUCCAGCAGCAUGGUGUGAAUCCAUGUUGAUGACUCGGGAGGGAAGGAAUUACUCCUCAAAAUAGACAAUGGACACAAUUUGACACUUUGUUGCAUUAUUCAUAAUACUGCUCAGAGCUGUAUUUAUUGUUGCAGGCAAUUAAAUUUGCCCCAAACUUCCAGCGCGGGCCAAAUCACAAUUUCAUGCCCUCAAAUUCUCUGUAAUUAGAGGUUUUUAUGGCCCAUGCAGUUUGUGAUUUGUAAAAAUAAAGGAUGGAUGCUCUGCACAGGACUUUGGGCUUCUGUUUCUGUGAAAUUUGUAUUGUAUUAGGCUCUAAAAUUGCUCUUUUUUCCAGUGGACUGGAGGAAUCAUUUUCCAAAAUGGCGCUGGACCUCAUGACUACUUUAAGGGAUGAUCAUCGCUCGAGUACAAUUUUCCCCCAAAGUCUUUGGUUAACCGCCAAAAAAAUGCACAGAGUGAAAAGAUGAUGAAAUAAGCUUUAGUUUGAUAGGUGAUUUUUUGAAGUGGGGGCAUUUUGUGUUAUAUGAAUUUAAUAAAUCUCACUAAAAUGUAGUGCACUAUACAUUUUUAUAUGAAUUCUGGCCAGUCUUUCAGUAAACACAGAACAACAAAUGCAUAAUAUAAAAUAAAGACUUUCUUUGCUUUUGAAAAUUGAAACCUUUCUCAACAGGUCAUUUCCACUGUUUCAACUAAAAAGAAACAUUGUUAGGGUUUUUUAGAGGGCAGUGGUUUUGUAUGACUGGGAUAGGUAUGAGUAAACCUUGUGUGCAUUCAUUGUCACUAAAUUAAAAUACCGGUAAAUAA
rnacentral:misc_RNA from 1 species